rnacentral:rRNA from 1 species
AUGAAUGCACGACCCAUUUGCUGCUCCCUCCCCUAUGGGCGAUUCAACCUCAUGCCCCGCCUCCGCUCAACCCAAGCCCCGUUCAUCCAGCAGGCCGUACGGUGUUGUUUGAUCGCUCAGCUAAAGGGUCUCCAACCAGGAUGCAUCAAGGCAUAUGCUAGCACCAUGGGGAAACAAAUCGUGAACAUGCUUGGUGAACUCGCCACAAAGGAGGUCGCCCGGCUGUGGAGGUUUAAAGACUAUGUUGAUGCCAUGAUGGACAAGAUGCAAGAUCUGGAAGCCGUUUACACGAUGCGGAUGAUAGGCCGCGCCAAGGAGGGAGAGACGGGGAAGUUGUUGGGAGGUGGCUCGCCAAAUUCAAGUCUGUCACCGAAGACGGAGGACGUGCUGAACGACCUGGACGCUGCAGAUCAACAUGGACAUGGACUUUUCACUUUCUAG